rnacentral:rRNA from 1 species
GUAGGGGGCAAGCGUUGUCCGGAAUCAUUGGGCGUAAAGCGCGCGUAGGCGGCCCUGUAAGUCCGCUGUGAAAGUCAAAGGCUCAACCUUUGAACGCCGGUGGAUACUGCAGGGCUAGAGUCCGGAAGAGGCGAGUGGAAUUCCUGGUGUAGCGGUGGAAUGCGCAGAUAUCAGGAGGAACACCAAUAGCGAAGGCAGCUCGCUGGGACGGUACUGACGCUAAGGCGCGAAAGCGUGGGGAGCGAACAGGAUUAGAUACCCUGGUAGUCCACGCCGUAAACGAUGGGCACUAGGUGUGGGAGGUGUCGACUCCUUCCGUGCCGUCGCUAACGCACUAAGUGCCCCGCCUGGGGAGUACGGCCGCAAGGCUAAA